rnacentral:rRNA from 1 species
GUCUGCUAGUACACGUGGACACCUACCCUAAGGAGGGGGAUAACCCCGGGAAACUGGGGAUAAUACCCCAUAGACUAGAGAAGCUGGAAUGCUCUCAAGUCCAAAGGUCCGCCGCCUUAGGAUGGGUCUGCGGUCGAUUAGGUUGUUGUUGGGGUAACGGCCCAACAAGCCCGUGAUCGAUACGGGUUGUGAGAGCAAGAGCCCGGAGAUGGAUUCUGAGACACGAAUCCAGGCCCUACGGGGCGCAGCAGGCGCGAAAACUUUACAAUGCGGGAAACCGUGAUAGGGGAACCCCGAGUGCCCGUAAAUUCGGGCUGUCCAUCAGCGUAAAUAACUGGUGAAGAAAGGGCCGGGCAAGACCGGUGCCAGCCGCCGCGGUAACACCGGCGGCUCGAGUGGUGGCCACUAUUAUUGGGCUUAAAGCGUCCGUAGCUUGGUUGUUAAGUCUCUUGGGAAAUCUACCGGCUCAACCGGUAGGCGUUCAGGAGAUACUGGCAAUCUAGGGACCGGGAGAGGUGAGAGGUACUCCAGGGGUAGGAGUGAAAUCCUGUAAUCCUUGGGGGACCACCUGUGGCGAAGGCGUCUCACUAGAACGGCUCCGACAGUGAGGGACGAAAGCUGGGGGAGCAAACCGGAUUAGAUACCCGGGUAGUCCCAGCUGUAAACGAUGCGCGUUAGGUGUAUCGGUGACCACGAGUCACCGAGGUGCCGAAGGGAAACCGUGAAACGUGCCGCCUGGGAAGUACGGUCGCAAGGCUGAAACUUAAAGGAAUUGGCGGGGGAGCACCACAACAGGUGGAGCCUGCGGUUUAAUCGGACUCAACGCCGGAAAGCUCACCGGAUAAGACAGCGGAAUGAUAGCCGGGCUGAAGACUCUGCUUGACUAGCUGAGAGGAGGUGCAUGGCCGUCGUCAGUUCGUACUGUGAAGCAUCCUGUUAAGUCAGGCAACGAGCGGAGACCCCGAANU